GCAGACACAUUCCAGCCAAUCAGCAGCAGACCCUCCCUCUCAGACCCUCCCACCUCCUGGACAGCAUCCAUUUUGAAGCUGCAUUCUUAGUGAGCUGUCCAGGAGAUGGGAGGGUCUGGGAGGGAGGGUCUGCUGCUGAUUGGCUGGAAUGUGUCUG
rnacentral:miRNA from 1 species